UAGGCGUUUAAAUGCAGAAUUGCAGGCAAAAACAGCUGACGUGGUUCAACAAGCUAAGGAAAUAAUAUUUUUGCCAGUGUCUGAAAAGCAGGAAAAUACUUGUACAAAAGGACCCCACGUUAUAGUAGAAUGACAGAUUCAUUACGUUUUCUACUCAGAGAGCCCUGUAAAAAGAAUCUCCCCCUGCAAAUAAAAAACAGAAUAGAAAACUGGGAUAAGCUAGGAAAGGGGUUGGGGAAUGGAUUCCUACCCCUGCAGAAGCAAACAAUAUAAGGUUUCUCAUAUUUAAUUUUUAUUUACUCACUUUCUCUUUUUAAAAUUUUUAAUGUUUGUGGUUACAUAGUAAGUGUUUAUGGGGUAAAUGAGAUAUUUUGAUACAGGCAUGCAUUGUGUAAUAAUCACAUCAUGGAAAAUGGGGUAUCCAUCCCCUCAAGUAUUUAUCCUUUGUGUUACAAAAAAUCCAAUUAUACUAUUUUAGUUAAUUUAAAAUGUACAAUUAAAUGAUUUUGACUAUAAUAAACAUGUUGUGCUGUCAAA
rnacentral:lncRNA from 1 species